AUGAAAACUAUCUUUUGUUUUUCCAUUCUUUUUCUUGUCGUGUCUAUGAAUUUUGGAAAUCAGAUGAAGAUGACAGAGGCAAAAGAUUGUUUCCGCUACGUGAAUCAUUUUUGCCGUAAAGAGUCUGCUUGGCAGGUUUUGGUUUGCAAAGCUUUUUGUAAGGUGGAUUGCAGAAAUAUACAUGCAACUGGAAAAUGUUAUGACGACCUUUCUUGUCACUGUAAUUGUUGUCCUUAA